rnacentral:rRNA from 1 species
UUAAGUUAGAAAGGGCGCACGGUGGAUGCCUUGACACUAGGAGUCGAUGAAGGACGGGACUAACGCCGAUAUGCUUCGGGGAGCUGUAAGUAAGCUUUGAUCCGAAGAUUUCCGAAUGGGGAAACCCACCAUACGUAAUGGUAUGGUAUCCUUAUCUGAAUACAUAGGGUAAGGAAGACAGACCCAGGGAACUGAAACAUCUAAGUACCUGGAGGAAGAGAAAGCAAAUGCGAUUUCCUGAGUAGCGGCGAGCGAAACGGAACAUAGCCCAAACCAAGAGGCUUGCCUCUUGGGGUUGUAGGACAUUCUAUACGGAGUUACAAAGGAACGAGGUAGACGAAGCGACCUGGAAAGGUCCGUCGUAGAGGGUAACAACCCCGUAGUCGAAACUUCGUUCUCUCUUGAAUGUAUCCUGAGUACGGCGGAACACGUGAAAUUCCGUCGGAAUCUGGGAGGACCAUCUCCCAAGGCUAAAUACUCCCUAGUGAUCGAUAGUGAACCAGUACCGUGAGGGAAAGGUGAAAAGCACCCCGGAAGGGGAGUGAAAGAGAUCCUGAAACCGUGUGCCUACAAAUAGUCAGAGCCCGUUAACGGGUGAUGGCGUGCCUUUUGUAGAAUGAACCGGCGAGUUACGAUCCCGUGCGAGGUUAAGCUGAAGAGGCGGAGCCGCAGCGAAAGCGAGUCUGAAUAGGGCGUUUAGUACGUGGUCGUAGACCCGAAACCAGGUGAUCUACCCAUGUCCAGGGUGAAGUUCAGGUAACACUGAAUGGAGGCCCGAACCCACGCACGUUGAAAAGUGCGGGGAUGAGGUGUGGGUAGCGGAGAAAUUCCAAUCGAACCUGGAGAUAGCUGGUUCUCCCCGAAAUAGCUUUAGGGCUAGCCUUAAGUGUAAGAGUCUUGGAGGUAGAGCACUGAUUGGACUAGGGGUCCUCAUCGGAUUACCGAAUUCAGUCAAACUCCGAAUGCCAAUGACUUAUCCUUAGGAGUCAGACUGCGAGUGAUAAGAUCCGUAGUCAAAAGGGAAACAGCCCAGACCGCCAGCUAAGGUCCCAAAGUGUGUAUUAAGUGGAAAAGGAUGUGGAGUUGCUUAGACAACUAGGAUGUUGGCUUAGAAGCAGCCACCAUUUAAAGAGUGCGUAAUAGCUCACUAGUCGAGUGACUCUGCGCCGAAAAUGUACCGGGGCUAAAUACACCACCGAAGCUGCGGAUUGAUACCGAAUGGUAUCAAUGGUAGGGGAGCGUUCUAAGGACAGUGAAGUCAGACCGGAAGGACUGGUGGAGUGCUUAGAAGUGAGAAUGCCGGUAUGAGUAGCGAAAGACGGGUGAGAAUCCCGUCCACCGAAUGCCUAAGGUUUCCUGAGGAAGGCUCGUCCGCUCAGGGUUAGUCAGGACCUAAGCCGAGGCCGACAGGCGUAGGCGAUGGACAACAGGUUGAUAUUCCUGUACCACCUCUUUAUCGUUUGAGCAAUGGAGGGACGCAGAAGGAUAGAAGAAGCGUGCGAUUGGUUGUGCACGUCCAAGCAGUUAGGCUGAUAAGUAGGCAAAUCCGCUUAUCGUAAAGGCUGAGCUGUGAUGGGGAAGCUCCUUAUGGAGCGAAGUCUUUGAUUCCCCGCUGCCAAGAAAAGCUUCUAGCGAGAUAAAAGGUGCCUGUACCGCAAACCGACACAGGUAGGCGAGGAGAGAAUCCUAAGGUGUGCGAGAGAACUCUGGUUAAGGAACUCGGCAAAAUGACCCCGUAACUUCGGGAGAAGGGGUGCUUUCUUAACGGAAAGCCGCAGUGAAUAGGCCCAAGCGACUGUUUAGCAAAAACACAGCUCUCUGCGAAGCCGUAAGGCGAAGUAUAGGGGGUGACACCUGCCCGGUGCUGGAAGGUUAAGGAGAGGGGUUAGCGUAAGCGAAGCUCUGAACUGAAGCCCCAGUAAACGGCGGCCGUAACUAUAACGGUCCUAAGGUAGCGAAAUUCCUUGUCGGGUAAGUUCCGACCCGCACGAAAGGUGUAACGAUUUGGGCACUGUCUCAACCAGAGACUCGGUGAAAUUAUAGUACCUGUGAAGAUGCAGGUUACCCGCGACAGGACGGAAAGACCCCGUGGAGCUUUACUGUAGCCUGAUAUUGAAUUUUGGUACAGUUUGUACAGGAUAGGCGGGAGCCUUUGAAACCGGAGCGCUAGCUUCGGUGGAGGCGCUGGUGGGAUACCGCCCUGACUGUAUUGAAAUUCUAACCUACGGGUCUUAUCGACCCGGGAGACAGUGUCAGGUGGGCAGUUUGACUGGGGCGGUCGCCUCCUAAAGUGUAACGGAGGCGCCCAAAGGUUCCCUCAGAAUGGUUGGAAAUCAUUCGUAGAGUGCAAAGGCAUAAGGGAGCUUGACUGCGAGACCUACAAGUCGAGCAGGGACGAAAGUCGGGCUUAGUGAUCCGGUGGUUCCGCAUGGAAGGGCCAUCGCUCAACGGAUAAAAGCUACCCCGGGGAUAACAGGCUUAUCUCCCCCAAGAGUCCACAUCGACGGGGAGGUUUGGCACCUCGAUGUCGGCUCAUCGCAUCCUGGGGCUGUAGUCGGUCCCAAGGGUUGGGCUGUUCGCCCAUUAAAGCGGUACGCGAGCUGGGUUCAGAACGUCGUGAGACAGUUCGGUCCCUAUCCGUCGUGGGCGUAGGAAAUUUGAGAGGAGCUGUCCUUAGUACGAGAGGACCGGGAUGGACGCACCGCUGGUGUACCAGUUGUUCUGCCAAGGGCAUAGCUGGGUAGCUAUGUGCGGAAGGGAUAAGUGCUGAAAGCAUCUAAGCAUGAAGCCCCCCUCAAGAUGAGAUUUCCCAUAGCGUAAGCUAGUAAGAUCCCUGAAAGAUGAUCAGGUUGAUAGGUUCGAGGUGGAAGCAUGGUGACAUGUGGAGCUGACGAAUACUAAUAGAUCGAGGACUUAACCAU